UUUCUUCAUGAAGGGCGGAGGGUGACUUGUAAGACUCGGCAAGCUGGGGCAGAGGAGCCGGUUCAGUUGGUAAAGUGCUUGAAGACCAGAAUUCAACACCAAAACCCAUGUAAAAGGAUGAUUAUGAUAGCUGUGCUUGAAAUACCAGCAUUGGGAACACAGGGAUGGAAGAAUCCCCAGGGCUCACCAGCCAGCCAGUCUGGACUACUUGGUGCCUUUCCAGCCAAUGAGAAGUCCUGUCCCAAAAGUAGGUC
rnacentral:lncRNA from 1 species